ensembl:lncRNA
GGAGUCUCCAGCCUUCCUUCCCCUCCCAGCUCCUGCUGGAUCUCUGCUCAGCAGCGAUGGAGGCAUCUUAAGGCCGUGCAGUCACAUGGGAGGUUCGUGGGAUUGUUUGCUCCUGCCUCUGGGUUACUUGGACAUCCUCCUCCAGCCCCCCAGGUUCUGAAGUUCUGUAAAAACUUUGAAGCCUGUUUCUACUAGCACUGAAAACUGAAGUUCAUCUGUGAAACAGAACCUUUGCAGAGAAGGAACUACAGCAGUUUUGGAGUACAGGAGACCACCUUCAUCUUUCAUGCUCAGCUCUGGCUCGCAGAUCUUUGCAUUCUGCGCUACUCAGAACAGCAUAAACGCUUUCAGUCUUCCCAAGGCUCUGAAAUUAUUCAGUCCAUAGAGACUUAUCACAUUGCCAAGCUCAUAUAAUCUCCUUACCGUGGUCAGUUUCACACAAGUAACAUGAUGACUUAUCCUUAUGCUGUCCUGGCCAAUAUUAAAGUAUUCUUUCCAAAUAAAACAGCUUCUA